rnacentral:tRNA from 1 species
GCCCGGAUGGCGGAAUUGGUAGACGCGCUGGUCUCAAACACCUGUGAGUUAACCCUCAUGCCGGUUCGAGCCCGGCUCCGGGUA